CAGAUGCAUUUUACUACUGAGGUAAACAAAAGAAAGUUGCGUUCUUGCACGGACACAAGUCUGCUAGCUUGACUAAAUUCAGAUGGAAGGAUGCUGAGUCUCCGUCUCGGUCUCUCAGUCUUGCACCUUGGACAAGUGCUUCCAAGCCAAAAGUCAUACUGGCAUGGACUUGCAACCAUUAGCGUUUCAAGUUGUGGUGUGUCACCGUGCAAGCUUCAAGAGAGGGUUUUAGGCAGCAGACUUCCAAAGGACUGUUUGUUCAUAAGUUCAAUGUUGAAAGCUAAAUAUGGGUAAAUAUACUGGCCACUUUCAAAGCCUACAUUUAUCUUGCUCUCAUUUAAUCCAAGAUUUUCUUAAUGAUUAAUUUACGAGCCAACCACAAUAUUUAAGAGGAAACUCCAAUACUUUGCCUGCAUUUCUAUGCAGGAAUGGCAUCGGGCCUCUAAGCUUAGUACCCAAGCAACUAAAUCUUCUUUUUGGUUUAACAUAGGCACUUCAAAAUGGCAGUAUUUGUGCAUGGAAAAUGAAACUUUUAUAUUACUUUUAAAACUUGUUUUUUUAUGUACAGAGU